UCCCUGGUGGUCCAAUGGUUAAGACUUUAUGCUUCUAAUGCAGGGGAUAUGAGUUCAAUCCUUGAUCAGGGAA
rnacentral:tRNA from 1 species